rnacentral:rRNA from 1 species
AUGGAGUGGUGGCACCACACGGUGGGUGUCAAUGCUAACGUGAGAAAGGGCCUUGCAUCCCUCGUCAUGUUGGUCUCUUGGGAGAUUUGAAACGAACGAAACACACAGGUGUUUAGAAAUGUGUCAUCCUUGCCAAUUGUAAUCAUGUCUAAGAUUAAGAAUGUUGUUGGGUUAUGGGGCUUGGCGGGGGCUAAGCAUCUGCGUUCUUUAAUGCCGCAAGAGUAG